rnacentral:rRNA from 1 species
GACGAACGCUGGCGGCGUGCUUAACACAUGCAAGUCGAACGGAAAGGCCCUGCUUUUGUGGGGUGCUCGAGUGGCGAACGGGUGAGUAACACGUGAGUAACCUGCCCUUGACUUUGGGAUAACUUCAGGAAACUGGGGCUAAUACCGGAUAGGAGCUCCUGCUGCAUGGUGGGGGUUGGAAAGUUUCGGCGGUUGGGGAUGGACUCGCGGCUUAUCAGCUUGUUGGUGGGGUAGUGGCUUACCAAGGCUUUGACGGGUAGCCGGCCUGAGAGGGUGACCGGGCACAAUGGGCCUGAGAUACGGCCCAGACUCCUACGGGAGGCAGCAGUGGGGAAUAUUGCACAAUGGGCGGAAGCCUGAUGCAGCAACGCCGCGUGCGGGAUGACGGCCUUCGGGUUGUAAACCGCUUUCGCCUGUGACGAAGCGUGAGUGACGGUAAUGGGUAAAGAAGCACCGGCUAACUACGUG